AGGAAAGACAGCCAGUGACUUCCAUGCUGGGUCCUGAGGAGGACUCCCCUCUCCAGGUAGACUGUUGGUGGGUCAGCAAAAUGCACUAGAAAUGAUCUGUGUGAAAAUCGUAAUUCCAGUAGCCUACUAUGGCUUCAGGAGAGCAGAGGUGGAGAUAGGCCAGUUCAGGAAGCUAGGGAAUGUCAUGGUAAGGAGAUCCUGACCCUGGAGCCCCAGGAGCCUCGAGCAAAGAUGCAAUGAGGGCAGCUUGCAGUUGUGGCAACCUCCAGCCCCCUGAGGGCUUCUUAGUGAGGUUCAUCUGGAGAAGUCCGUAGAGCCUAAAACAGAAUUUGAAAUGUGUAUGUCAGAUUGUUAGCAUUUAAAUUUAAAGAGAGGCGGGCAAAUGGCUAUAUGCCGUUUUGGUUUUUGUUGUUCUCUUUAUAAUUUUAUUUAAUUUAAAAAUUUCUAUUGUUAUUCUUGUUGGUUGUGGUGGAGGGGUGUGUGUGUGUGUGUGUAUGUUUGUGUGUGAGAGAGAGAGAGAGAGAAAGGGGAGGGGAGGGGAGGGGGAGGGGGAGGGAGAGGGUUGAAGCCAAGUCCCUAUUGCUGAAGAUAGCACACACUUGCAAUACAGGACAUGGAGGACCCAAGCUGGAUCCGACCCAAGGACUAACUUCCAUAGUCUCAGAAGUGCUAAGCCAGCUGCCAAGGACAGAAAGCAACCAACAGCCCUACUUACUUAGCUGUGAAGUUUAUGAACCACGUUGGCCAACAUGGCAAGAUAGCCAUAAGAGUGGCACUCAUAUCUUGUGAGUAACCAACAGCUAUCUCAUUGGACCCAAGGCCCACUUAACAAGAGGGAAACCUAGCUA
rnacentral:lncRNA from 1 species